rnacentral:lncRNA from 1 species
CGGAGGCCAGCUAGAGGAGGACGCGCAUGGAGGAAAUGCAUGCGUGCGGUGGUGAUGCACGCGUGAGGCCUGGAUCCCAUUGCUGCGGCGCCUGUGAUUUCUGAAACUGUUUAGGGUUUCUGCAAAUGUAAAAAAAAUCUGGGUUGGUUUUGGAUAUUGGGCUGAAAUCGGGUUUGUCGUGUUGGGUCAGAUUAGGUUUGGGCUUAAUUGGGCUUGAGUUAUAACCGGUAUUAGGACUAUAUUUUGGGUUAGAUUUUAUUGGGCUAAUGUUUCUGUAUUUUUGGACUUUUGGACUUUUUAAUUUAUUUUUAAUUUUUAAUUUUAUUUGUUUUUUUUUGUAAAGGUCGGGUGAAUUGGGCCUAUUACAGCUAUCAUUGAGGAUAGUUAUCCCUUCUCACCAAAAUUUU